CCGUCUGGUUUGGGAGUAGCUUCAGGCAGAAGUGCAAGACCCUGUAGAAGAUGGUACAGUCAGCUGAAUGCACCUCUAACCUGCUGGACAUUUAGACCCAAGACAAAUGACCCCAGCCAUCUUAACAAUGUCCUCUUCCCUCAACUAUGGUCAGAAUGCAUCUUCUGCACAUAGUUACAACCCUGGAGAAGAGGAGACGAGAAGUUUAACAUGUCAUACAUUGAUAUACAGAUCCCUGUGUAGACUGCUAAAAAAUGUCUGGUCUGAUUUCUCUCACUCACAUUGGAUGCUCUGUAUUAAGAUAAAUAAAUAAAAUAAAAACUG